ensembl:lncRNA
AUUCCUGUUUCUGGUAACCUCCUGUAACUGUUUGCCCCCACCCCCAACAUCCUCCUUUGUCAUUAGCUGAGACGAUACUUAAGGUGGGGGCUUCAGCCAUUUUGAUGAGUCACUCAGCUUGCCUGACCUCUCCCAUGUAUACAUGUUAUAAAGUUUUGUUUAAUUUUCUUCUGCUAUUCUGUCUCAUGUGAAUUUAAUUCGUUCUCCGGCCAGACAAACCCAGAGAAGGUAGAGCUAAUGUCUCCAUCCCCUACAGUUUGGCAACUUGGACGGGAUAAAAUUUCACUGGCUGGACACUGCUUGCUCCUGGACUGCUGCAGCUGAGAGAUCCUGGACCCCUGACAAGAGCCGGCAAGAGGCUGGAUUGGUAUCCCUCCCUAUGGAUCCUGACCACUCUGAAUUGUGGGAAAGUCCCAAUUAGGACUCCGGUUCAAGAGAUAUUCAUGGAAAGGACUCUGACACUGACUCUGGAAUACAGGUUUCUGAUAAACUUUCAGAUCAUAGAACUGAACUGAGUAAGAAAUUACAUAAAUCUAAUGGAGAAACCUAUGACCUCAUAAAACUCCUAACAGAAGAUUAAGAUCAAGAACUGAUUAUACAGAACUGAAUGAACUGAGGAUGAUAAUUUUCAUGACUUUUAUUUGAAGUAUUGCUGAUUUUUUUUGAAGUUUUGUUUUGUUUUCUCAGAUUUAAGGAACUCUUUUUCUCUUUUCUCUCAUGCUAACUAUGACUUUUGCCAAUUUGGUGAAAUUAUGCCUUUGCAAACAAGACUGAAACAUUUACCUUUUUCUCCCUAGCUGAUCCCUCCAGAGUUUGGAAACUUAGUGAGUGAGUAUGGCUAUUUCAUGGCAAUAUAGUUAUUUGCAUAAGUUCAAAAAGAAUCCAUUCUCCUUACAACAGGAAGCAUUUGUUAUCUUACCAAAGCUUUGACUGGAAUGUCAUAUUUGAGAGAAACAUACAGACUCAGAUAUGACAAUACUGUCUUUGAGGAAUAAGGUUGACUUUCUGG